ACCCUUGGUCCUGCUGACUGUCUGGUUCUCCUUCCCAGGUUGUCUUUUCAAGCCCAUGGUCUCUUCUACAUGGGUGGAACCCUAGACCGAGCUCCAGGGAACCCCAGAGUACCCUGCUGUCCAUAGUCCCUGCUGGCCCAGGGCUGGCCUGGCCGGGCAGUCAGGCCACACACCCCAGGAAAUGCGAUGGCCCCACGUGAGGGAUGCACCUUGCAGGGGUAGCCUGACCAGACGGACAGACAGAAGACGCGGUGCAGUCCCAGAUGGGAGCGUCCCGGGCUCUGAGUUCGGGAGCCCUCCACUUCCUCACACGGAGGGGCAAGCGUCUUGUGUUGGGGAAACAGAGACCGCGGGUCCAGUCAGAAUCACCCUUGAAGCACUGUAUGGAGGACAAGCCGGGCUGUCUAGAACAGGCUGUCAAGCUUUGCUGUGAGAAAAGCCCCUGAUUCGAACCAAGCAAGGCCAGACUUGGAUGCGAUGUAUUUUCAGCCCCCGCAGAGCAAGCUCAGAGCAACCUGUGGAGUGUGCGCUCUCGGAACCCCCGGGCGGGACCACGCGCGUCAAGGCGGGUGGGAUCACUGGUGCCAGAUCCCCCUGGGAGGGGGGAAAUGGGAAGCAGGAGGGACCUGAGGGGCGUUCUGGUCUGGAGUGAUCUGUAUCCAGCCACGCAGGUGACUCAUGGGGCCUCAUUUUCCUCCCAAUGGACCAGACUUGCUGGAACUAACUGCCUUCUCCCUGCCAGAGAGAGGAUUAAUGAGGUAAUGUCUUCUCUGGGCUUUGAGCUCCUUUGGGAAUGUUGCUGUAAACCCACAGGGUGUUAUUAGAAUGGGGGACACCAAAGGGUCACGGGGAUGGGGAGAUGAAUGUUGUGGUCUGCAAGGCCUAGGGGUGUCUAGGUGGGUACACUUCUUACAGUACCUCUGGUGGUUAAGCACACCUAUCACUCAGCCACUCUGCUCUCCUGCCUUCUGAGGAAAUGUGCGAUCCGGCCUGAUGGGUGCCUUAUAGGCACAGAGAUGGGAGAAACGGAUUCGGCUCAAGAGGCUGGAGAAGUUUAGAGAGGGUGACAAUGAGGCUGGGCACACUGGAUGCGGUAUUUACUGUUGCCAAAGGCAUCAGAGCCAGGUCAGGCCAGCCCCGUCUGCCUGCCUGCCUGCCUGCCUGCCAGGACUAAGAUGUUGGGGAAGGACAAUUGGUUAUCGUUAUCCAGGGUACGUGUGUGUUCUAUCCAGCCACCGCAAACACUGAAUUAGCGAAUCCAGAACCAUCACUUUGGGAGAAACACAAGGUAGGUCCCUGGGAGCGCCUGGUCACAACAUUCUCAUCCGCUAAUCAACACCAAACCUUGUUUGUGUUUCUACCCAAAGGCUUGUUACUUAAUGCAUGGAUUUCGGAUGAUUCGUGAACACUGAACUCACAGCCACCAAGGCUGUAACUCAUGCCCGAAGGAAGAUCGCCCAACACACUUAUUUUCUCUGUAAGACACAUCACAGCCUCCUCUUGCUGGAGAGCACUAGACGGCACUUCAGCACUAUGUUUGAAGGCCAACACCAACAAAAACACAAAAACGUGAAAAACGUGGCACUGAGUAGACCGCAAACAGGACGCGUGUUUACACUAUGAGAGCUGAGAUAAGAAGGCAGAGUUUCAUCCCGUUUGAUCCCAGCUGGGAACGUGGCAUCGGGUGAAUCCAUGGUUUGCGGUCUGUGCGUGUCCACGGAGGACCGUGAAGGUGCCGUGGGUACGCGUGUAGGGAGCAGGCGAAUUUGCCCUUAUGGAAUCCGCGAGUCAUGACGACUGACUCUAAUCAAAGGCAGGAGCAGAGCUGGGUGUUAGGAAUUCCUUUCACAGGAACACGGAGGAUGUUUCCCAGGGGUCCUGGCCCACCUAACCUCCAAGAGUGUUGGGGUGAUGGCUGAGAUAUCCCCCCCAAGGGAGCCACUCCCAUUUUCCCACAGAAGGUGUCCCGAAUUGGCAGAUGGGGAUUUAAGUGCUGGUUUUCCUCCAUAGGAGCUUCCCCUAUGCUCUGUCUUUAGAUUUUUGCAGCAGCCACAGGAAUCAGCCUGGGAAAGAGUUACCCUCCCUGGAAAGAAUGGAGGCUGAGUCUGAGGUGGGUGAGAGGCCCAAGGCCACAGCCCCAAGGAGGCGAAGUUGAGGACACAGGCCCUUCUCCAGAGCUGCAUCAGGCUUGCCACUUUAUCCUCAUGUCUCCGAUAUUUAGUCAAAAUGAUGCCUUAACUGUGAAAUUGUUUCCAUUUGCAUAGGAAGGGGGGGCAUUCAGUAAAAUGAACUUGCAAAAAAAAAAAAAACAGGAGCUACAGAUAUAUGUCUUAAAUUCUAAUCAACUGCUGUGUGUGUUCCCUACACGGACAGGCUAAAGCAUGUGCAGCUACAUUAUUGUUCUUGGAGACGGAAUUUAUUUGUAUCCCAUAAAUAUCCCAGCAUCAGAGCUGUGGUUACCACUCACGGCUGCUGUUUUAAAUAAACUUCGGAUCUGCAGACUUUCA
rnacentral:lncRNA from 1 species